GAUGAACGCUGGCGGCGUGCCUAAUACAUGCAAGUCGAGCGAACGGACGAUACUUGUGGGGCUCUGGUGUUACCGGCGGACGGGUGAGUAGCACGUGGAUAACCCCUCACUAAGACUUGGACAACUGAGGGAAACCGUAACUAAUGCCAGGUACUUGUUUGAGCCGGAGGGUUGAAAAGUUAAAGACGGUCUAGCGGUCACUUAUAGAUGUAUCCGCGCUGCGUUAGAGAGUUGGCAAGGUAACGGCUUAACAAGGCAACGAUGCAUGGCCGACGUGGGAGGGUGGUCGGCCACACUGGAACUGCGGCACGGUCCAGACUCCUACGCGAGGCAGCAGCCGGCAAUCUUCCGCAAUGGGCGAAAGCGUGACGGAGCCGCGCCGCGUGAGUGAUGACGGUCUUCGGAUCGUGAAACUCUGUUAUUAGGGAACACCAUAUGUGUAAGUCAAUGUGCACGUCGUGACGGUAGUUAAUCAGAAAGCAACGGCUAACUACGUG
rnacentral:rRNA from 1 species